rnacentral:rRNA from 1 species
UACGGAGGGUGCAAGCGUUGUCCGGAAUUACUGGGCGUAAAGCGUGCGUAGGUGGUUUGUUAAGCAAGAUGUGAAAGCCCCGGGCUCAACCUGGGAACUGCAUUUUGAACUGGCAAACUAGAGUAUUGUAGAGGGUAGUGGAAUUUCCAGUGUAGCGGUGAAAUGCGUAGAGAUUGGAAGGAACAUCAGUGGCGAAGGCGGCUACCUGGACAAAGACUGACACUGAGGCACGAAGGCGUGGGGAGCAAAC